rnacentral:lncRNA from 1 species
GACUGCCCUAUGCAGCCAGUGGCGAGGACGCCAAUUGACGCUGACUGGCAAUGCGGGCCGCAUUGGUGCUCGUGCUCUUUACUGCUUUACUAUUUGUUUCAUUAAGUUCGUCAUUGGCCCACAGAAGAGGCCGACGACGGCAAGGUGAUGACGGCGUGCGGCUUGGCUCAGGCCGACUGGGUCGACGUUUCAAGCAAAAUAGGAACGAUGUCUGCGAUGCUUCCCCUUACAAGGAAUUCCGGUUUCCUGACGG